AGAGUUUGAUCCUGGCUCAGAUUGAACGCUGGCGGCAGGCCUAACACAUGCAAGUCGAGCGGAAACGAUCCUAGCUUGCUAGGAGGCGUCGAGCGGCGGACGGGUGAGUAACGCGUGAGAAUCUACCCAUGAGUGGGGGACAACCCGGGGAAACUCGGGCUAAUACCGCAUACGCCCUACGGGGUAAAGCAGGGCACCUUCGGGCCUUGCGCUGAUGGAUGAGCUCGCGUCGGAUUAGCUUGUUGGUGAGGUAAAGGCUCACCAAGGCGACGAUCCGUAGCUGGUCUGAGAGGAUGAUCAGCCACACCGGGACUGAGACACGGCCCGGACUCCUACGGGAGGCAGCAGUGGGGAAUCUUGGACAAUGGGGGCAACCCUGAUCCAGCCAUGCCGCGUGUGUGAAGAAGGCCUUCGGGUUGUAAAGCACUUUCAGCAGGGAGGAAGGCUUACCCCUAAUACGGGUGAGUACUUGACGUUACCUGCAGAAGAAGCACCGGCUAAUUUCGUGCCAGCAGCCGCGGUAAUACGAAAGGUGCAAGCGUUAAUCGGAAUUACUGGGCGUAAAGCGCGCGUAGGCGGUGUGUUAAGUCGGAUGUGAAAGCCCAGGGCUCAACCUUGGAAUUGCAUCCGAUACUGGCACGCUAGAGUGCAGUAGAGGGAGGUGGAAUUUCCGGUGUAGCGGUGAAAUGCGUAGAGAUCGGAAGGAACACCAGUGGCGAAGGCGGCCUCCUGGACUGACACUGACGCUGAG
rnacentral:rRNA from 1 species